AGUGAACGCUGGCGGUAGGCCUAACACAUGCAAGUCGAACGGCAGCACAGUAAGAGCUUGCUCUUACGGGUGGCGAGUGGCGGACGGGUGAGGAAUACACCGGAACCUACUUUUUCGUGGGGGAUAACGUAGGGAAACUUACGCUAAUACCGCAUACGACCUACGGGUGAAAGCAGGGGAUCUUCUGACCUUGCGCGAUUGAAUGAGCCGAUGUCGGAUUAGCUAGUUGGCGGGGUAAAGGCCCACCAAGGCGACGAUCCGUAGCCGGUCUGAGAGGAUGAUCAGCCACACUAGAACUGAGACACGGUCCAGACUCCUACGGGAGGCAGCAGUGGGGAAUAUUGGACAAUGGGCGCAAGCCUGAUCCAGCCAUACCGCGUGGGUGAAGAAGGCCUUCGGGUUGUAAAGCCCUUUUGUUGGGAAAGAAAAGCAGCAGGUUAAUACCCCGCUGUUCUGACGGUACCCAAAGAAUAAGCACCGGCUAACUUCGUG
rnacentral:rRNA from 1 species